GGGAGUAUAGCUCAAUGGUAGAUCAUAUGCUUAGCAUGCAUGAGGUCCUCGGUUUGAUCCCCAGUACCUCCA
rnacentral:tRNA from 1 species